GCAUCCAGGCUGCAUGGCAUGAAUGACUCAAUGAUCUAUUAGCAAUUUCUGCUAUAGAAAAUGGGAGAUGAGGAGAUCACAUUCUGACAAAAUGGACCAAUGAUAAUUUAUAAAAAUGCUACCUUUUGGAGCUUCUUGACUCAGGGGGAUAGUGUCUUCUUGAGAUUGAACUGAAAUAAAAGCUUACAUUGGGACAACACUGCCAAACGUGGCAACAUCUCCGACUGUUUCUCCCUCAGCAUUCAUGGCAGGAUCCCGUCCAGGAUACCAUAUUGCAUUUACUGGGCAUGUCUUCUUAGACUCUUCUUGGAUGUGACAGUGUUUCAGACUUUCUUUGCUUUGUGUGACCAUAAGAGCUUUGAGGAGCACUGGUCAGCCAAAAAUUCAGUCUUUUCUCCAAGGAACCCUACCGAGAAGUUUUCUUAGGCCAAUGAAAGAUGGACAGAUGUGAUGUAUGACUCUGGAAUGGACUAUUUCAGAUCCAGGCACACUUCUCCAUUCAUCUCUUUUCCUUCUGCCACGGUUAGAGCCAUGUUCCAAAUAACGUCAGCUCUGCUAGCCUGGAACACAAUUUAGGAGGGCUGUUACAUAGGUUGGAGCCUACUAAUGACAUUUAAUGGUCAGGAAGUAUGAACCUCACAUGAACAUCACUUACUCAGGGUUGAGAUUUUGGGAGAUUGUCUGCUGUUUUGAUAUUACCUCAUGUAAGCUGAUCUAGAAAUUGCUAGGUUUAAAUAAUGUUUCUAAACCAUAAAGCUGACAGUGGAGAAGCCAAGAUUCAAACUUUUCCAUUAUUCUGGAAUACAUAGGAGGUAAAUAGGUGAAUUAGUUUGCUAGGGCUGGGUACCAAAAACUAGGUUGCAUAAAUAACAUAAAUUUAUUGUCUUACCAUUCUAGAUGUCUAAAAGCAGGCCAGAUGGCUAAAAUCAAGGUGUCAUCAUGGCUGGUUCCUUCUAAGAGCCAUGGCAGAGAUUAUGUUCUAUGCCUCUCACCCAGUAUCUGGUGGGUUUCUGGCAAUCUUUGCUAUCUUUUGGC